GGGGGAGGUGAAGACGCUCCUACGAUAAAGCCGUUGGUGUGAGAUAAAUAUCGAGAGGUCUUUCCCCCAUACCACAGAGUAGAAUCUUCGGCCAUCUCUGAAUUUGUAGAGAUGGGGUUUCACUGUGUUAACCAGGAUGGUCUCGAUCUCCUCACCUUAUGAUCCACCCGCCUCGGCCUCCCAAAGUCCUGGGAUUACAAAGGCCUGCAGGAUGAACUGGUCUUAAGUGUGAGAAAGAUUUAGCUAUGUGAUGAUGUGGAGGAAGGUGAAGUACUACAAAUCAAGAGAGCAUAAAAACAAGAACAGAAAUAUUUCAGCAUGUGAACAGUGGACUAAACAGGACGAAAAGCUUGGGGCCACACUACUUUCUCUCGAAAUGUCAGACAAAGAAAUUCUUCUGCAGACUGGUGGAAGCUUGAAAGGUUAGGACGCAGUGGCUCAUGCCUGUAAUCCCAACGUUUUGGGAGACCAGGUCGGGAGGAUGGCUUGAGCCCAGGAGUUCCAAGUUAGUGAGCUAUGAUUGCGCCACUGUACUCCAGCCUGGACGACAGAGG